GAUGAAGAACGUAGCGAAAUGCGAUAAGUAAUGUGAAUUGCAGAAUUCAGUGAAUCAUCGAAUCUUUGAACGCACAUUGCGCCCGCCAGUAUUCUGGCGGGCAUGCCUGUUCGAGCGUCAUUACAACCCUCAGGCCCCCGGGCCUGGCGUUGGGGAUCGGCGGAGCCCCCCGUGGGCACACGCCGUCCCCCAAAUGCAGUGGCGGUCCCGCCGCAGCUUCCAUCGCGUAGUAGCUAACACCUCGCGACUGGAGAGCGGCGCGGCCAAGCCGUAAAACACCCAACUCUUCUGAAGUUGACCUCGAAUCAGGUAGGAAUACCCGCUGAACUUAAGCAUAUCAAUAAGCGGAGGA
rnacentral:misc_RNA from 1 species